GACGAACGCUGGCGGCGUGCCUAAUACAUGCAAGUCGAGCGCAGGAAGCCGUCCGAACCCUUCGGGGGGACGACGGUGGAAUGAGCGGCGGACGGGUGAGUAACACGUAAAGAACCUGCCCAUAGGUCUGGGAUAACCACGAGAAAUCGGGGCUAAUACCGGAUGUGUCAUCGGACCGCAUGGUCCGCUGAUGAAAGGCGCCCCGGCGUCGCCCAUGGAUGGCUUUGCGGUGCAUUAGCUAGUUGGUGGGGUAACGGCCCACCAAGGCGACGAUGCAUAGCCGACCUGAGAGGGUGAUCGGCCACACUGGGACUGAGACACGGCCCAGACUCCUACGGGAGGCAGCAGUAGGGAAUCUUCCACAAUGGACGAAAGUCUGAUGGAGCAACGCCGCGUGAACUAUGAAGGCUUUCGGGUCGUAAAGUUCUGUUGUAAGGGAAGAACAAGUGCCGCAGGCAAUGGCGGCACCUUGACGGUACCUUGCGAGAAAGCCACGGCUAACUACGUGCCAGCAGCCGCCGUAAUAC
rnacentral:rRNA from 1 species